rnacentral:rRNA from 1 species
UAGGGAAUAUUGCACAAUGGAGGAAACUCUGAUGCAGCGACGCCGCGUGAGUGAUGAAGGCCUUCGGGUUGUAAAGCUCUGUUCUACGGGAAGAAAAAAUGACGGUACCGUAGAAGAAAGGACCGGCUAACUUCGUGCCAGCAGCCGCGGUAAUACGAAGGGUCCUAGCGUUGUUCGGAAUCAUUGGGCGUAAAGCGGGUGUAGGCGGCCAAUUAAGUCAGAAGUGAAAGCCCUGGGCUCAACCCGGGAAGUGCUUUUGAAACUGAUUGGCUUGAGUGUGGGAGAGGAUAGUAGAAUUCCUGGUGUAGUGGUGAAAUACGUAGAUAUCAGGAGGAAUACCGGUGGCGAAGGCGGCUAUCUGGCCCAACACUGACGCUCAGACCCGAAAGCGUGGGGAGCAAA